UACGAAGGGAGCUAGCGUUGUUCGGAAUUACUGGGCGUAAAGGGCGCGUAGGCGGCUUGGCAAGUUGGAUGUGAAAGCCCAGGGCUCAACCCUGGAAUUGCAUUCAAGACUGCCUUGCUUGAAUUCGGUAGAGGUUGGUGGAAUUCCCAGUGUAGAGGUGAAAUUCGUAGAUAUUGGGAAGAACACCCGUGGCGAAGGCGGCUCACUGGACCGACAUUGACACUGAGGCGCGAAAGCGUGGGGAUCAAACAGG
rnacentral:rRNA from 1 species